rnacentral:rRNA from 1 species
CCUACGGGUGGCAGCAGUGGGGAAUAUUGGACAAUGGGCGAAAGCCUGAUCCAGCCAUGCCGCGUGUGUGAAGAAGGCCUUCGGGUUGUAAAGCACUUUCAGUGGGGAAGAAAGCCUUGGGGCUAAUACCCUCGAGGAAGGACAUCACCCACAGAAGAAGCACCGGCUAACUCCGUGCCAGCAGCCGCAGGUAAUACGGAGGGUGCGAGCGUUAAUCGGAAUUACUGGGCGUAAAGCGCGCGUAGGCGGUCUGAUAAGCCGGUUGUGAAAGCCCCGGGCUCAACCUGGGAACGGCAUCCGGAACUGUCAGGCUAGAGUGCAGGAGAGGAAGGUAGAAUUCCCGGUGUAGCGGUGAAAUGCGUAGAGAUCGGGAGGAAUACCAGUGGCGAAGGCGGCCUUCUGGACUGACACUGACGCUGAGGUGCGAAAGCGUGGGUAGCAAACAGGAUUAGAUACCCUGGUAGUC